ACCCAUGUCUCACUCUAAAACUGAUACGCUCUCGUCUUCUCUGUAGAUGGAGGGUUGCUGAAGAGAAAACGGAAAGUUCAAGAGAGAGAAGCUUAGCAGUCGUCGAUGUGGGCACUGAGCUGGCGAAGCAGCGGCAGGGCUACUGGCAAGGGGCCAGGGCUCAGUCAAGCUGGAGGACAUAAAAUUUUCAUGGCAGGUCUGCACAAUUAAAUGUCAGUCGAUCUAUUUUAACAACUCACAAUCUUUAUGCACCUUAGGAUGGGAAUGGCAGUUUUGAGAGUUGAGAAGUCCUGCUCCAGCCUUUGGGGGAAAGCUGAUGAGUGCUAUUUUUAGAGCAGAAGAUCAAAAAAGGAAGAUGAUGGCAACAGCAAUGACUAAUAUCUCCACAGUGCUUCACAGUUUACACGGGACGUUCACCCUGUGCGGUUCACCUGUGGCUGUCCUUAAUUUACCGACGAGGAAGGGAAAAAGCAAGAGGCUUUGUUGUCAGGACAAUGACAGUUACCCCUUGGCAUGAUUUGCAAGCCUGGAUUUAGCUUUUCGAAGUGCAGGCCCCACAUAAAUCGAAGAAAUAAACACUGUCCCCUAAUGGAUUCACACUUGCAGCUCUCACGUCUGGUGGUAGGAAUGAAGCACAGCCCCCGGCCAGAGACUGACUGAGAUUGAAGGAACUGGUUUACACCAUUGGGGCUGCCAAGUCUGAAAUUUGCAGAGCUGGCCAACAGGCUACAAGUCCUGGCAGGAGUUGAUGGUGAAGUCUUGAGUCUGGAGGCAGAAUUCCUUCCUCUUCGAGGGACCUCGUUUUUUUUCCCUUAAGGCCUUCAACUGAUUGGAUGAGGCCCACCCAUAUCAUGGAGGGUGAUUUGCUUUACUCAGAGUCUGCUGAUUUAAAUCUUCAUCUAAAAAAACAUUCACAGCCACAUCUAUACUAGUGUUUGAGCAAGCAAGUAUACUAGGCUUGAGCAAGCCUAGCCAAGUUGAUAAAUAAAAUUAACUAGCAUAAGAACCCCUGAGGUACUAAACACUGGGGACACAGCAAUAAACUAAAGAGACAAGGCAACUAACCCCCAUGGAGCUUACAUUCUAUUUUUUUUAAAUCUUUUUUUAAAAACAAUUUUUUUGUUUGUUUUCUUUUUUGGGGGGAGGUAAUUAGGUCUGUCUGUUUGCUUGUUUAUUUAUUUAUUGGAGGUUCUGGGGACUGAACCCAGGACCUCGUGCAUGCUAAGUAUGCACUCUACCACUGAGCUAUACCCUCCCCCAAGCUUAUGUUCUUAUCCAAGUCUGAAUGUCAAUUUCCAGGAUGAGUUAGGGACAGGAGAGGCAGCCAGGCGGGGGAGAAGAGGCGGUGGGGGUCUGGGAAGCCAGAGAAGAGACUUGUGAUAGCAUGAAGGCAUGAGGUAACGAUGUUAAGAUUGAGGUGGGAGCAGCGUGCCUGCAGUGGAAGGGGUUAACUGGAGGGGGAAUGAAUAGUAAUAUCUUGGGAAGGACACCAACUCUUCUUUUUAUGGAGAAGAAAACUCAGGUCUUGAGAGGUGAUAUGACAAGUUAAAGAUCUGGUGACAUGGUGACAUUCUUAACACAAAGCACUUCUUAACAGAUUUGCAUGGACGUCCUGGGGUACCCUGAAUCACAGGUAUGGACCAAAUUUUA